rnacentral:rRNA from 1 species
ACACGGCGGUCUAAGUUAUAAGCAAUUUAUACAGCGAAACUGCGAAUGGCUCAUUAAAUCAGUUAUGAUCUACAUGACAAAAUCAAUUACUACUUGGAUAACCGUGGUAAUUCUAGAGCUAAUACAUGCGCAAAAAGCCUCGACUUCGGAAGGGGUGCACUUAUUAGAUAAAAGCCAACCCAGUGUAAAAGCUGGUUUUUGGUGACUCAUAAUAAUUUAGCUGAUCGCAUUGGCUUUAUGCCGGCGACGGUUCAUUCGAUUUUCUGCCCUAUCAGGUUUUGAUUGUAAGGUAGUGGCUUACAAUGCCUGCAACGGGUAACGGGGAAUUAGGGUUCGAUUCCGGAGAGGGAGCCUGAGAAACGGCUACCACAUCCAAGGAAGGCAGCAGGCGCGCAAAUUACCCAAUGCCAAUUCGGCGAGGUAGUGACAAUAAAUAACAAUGCAGGGCCUUUACGGUCUUGCAAUUGGAAUGAGUACAAUUUAAAUCCCUUAACGAGGAUCAAUUGGAGGGCAAGUCUGGUGCCAGCAGCCGCGGUAAUUCCAGCUCCAAUAGCGUAUAUUAAAGUUGCUGCAGUUAAAACGACCGAAGUCAAACCUCGGCCUUUAGGUUGGGUGGCCUAGUCUUCAUUGACUAAGCUCGCUUUAGCCAAGGCUUACAUCUGGCAGUGGCAUUCUUUCGGGGAUGUCUACCGGUCAGAUCUUUACCAUGAGCAAAUCAGAGUGUUUAAAGCAGGCUCAAUGGCUUGAAUGUGUUAGCAUGGAAUAAUGAAAUAUGGCUUGGGUCCUUAUUUCGUUGGUUUAUACGACCUUUGCAAUGAUAAAUAGGAACGGUUGGGGGGAUUUGUAUUUGGCCGCUAGAGGUGAAAUUCUUAGAUUGGCUAAAGACACACUACUGCGAAAGCAUUUUACCCAGGACGUUUCCGUUGAUCAAGGUCUAAAGUUAGGGGAUCGAAGACGAUUAGAUACCGUCGUAGUCCUAACCAUAAACUAUGCCGACUAGGGAUCGGGCUUGCUUACUGGCUUGCUCGGAACCUUAGCGAAAGUAAAGUUUUUGGGCUCUGGGGGGAAUAUGGUACGCAAGACUGAAACUUAAGAAAUGUGACGGAAGGAAG